AAUAUAUCUUUAUACAAAAUAGGUAAAUAUAAUAUAAUUAAUUUCCAAAAAUUAAAUUAUUUGAAUUCCUUUAUACAUUAUUAGUGCAACUCCUUUUACUCAAUUAAUAUAUCCUGUAUUUCACAUUAAAAAAACUUUACUGAACUGACAGAAUUAAUUACUUAAAUAAUAUUAUGGGAGAGUGAGAAUAGUUAAUACAAUUUGAAAAUUUGUAUUAUUUUUAUAAUGGCCGUAAGUUUAUUUUUUAGGGUUAUAUCCUAUUCAGUAGCCAAUUUUUACUAAUAUUUAUAUUUUUUUUUUUACACAAUAUAUAGUAUUAAAUUUGUUUAUUUAAAAUUUUACAACUAGCAACAUGGCGUGAUGAGUAGUUACAUUCUAUGGGUUAGUUGUUACACUAUAAAAUACGUUUAAAUGCUUACUUUAAUCAUGUACCGAUAUAGCGAAAAAUAGAUUGUAUUUAACAAAUUAUAAUCAAUAGUAAUGACUUAAAAAUCCAAUGUAAAAAUGUUUUAAAAACCUUGUGUUAUUUUUUUUAAUAAAUAUUUAUUUAGCAAACGAACAACUGUCUAAUACUAUUUAAAAAAUAACAUUUUAACAAUCUUGUAACGGUUAAAACUUCUCUCAUCAGGUUUAAUUACAAAAUUUAUACUCUCUCUCUCUUCUAACCGUAUUUUUUAUCUAGAUAACAUUAUAUGGUUCUAUACAUUUUUUUAUUUAAAUUGGGUAAAAAUAUAAAAUAAUAUUUCGUGGAGCACAAUGCCUGUAUGUAAUCGAACGUUUAAAUUUAUUUUAAUUUUAAUAAUUUGUAAAACUUAUUUUAAACUUUUCAUUGUAAAAUCUAUUUAGCUGAAAAAAUGUAAUUCGCAGUGGCAUGAAAGUAAUAAAAAUGUAUUCGGACAAAAUUAAUUCCUAGAGACCGGAAUAGCUAUACACAGGCCAUUUCGUGCCCAAAGUUAUGGUUAUCAUAGAUUUUUAUUUCUGUAAUCAAGUACUUGUUCGGUUUAGAAAUUAAACAUUCUCCCCAAAAUUUAUCCAAACUAAAUUAGCUGCACGCCUAACUUUUAAAAUAAGUGUCGGACCAAAUUCCGGCUUUAGCUUGGAAUUCGGCACCACUGGUAAUAGGUACUUACAAUUUACCUUAGCUUCCAAAAGCCGCGUUUUGAAAUAAGGUGAAUAAUUAUUUAAACACAUGUCUGUGAAUGCUUCCCUACUAAUACAAUU